CAAUAGCGUAUAUUAAAGUUGUUGCAGUUAAAAAGCUCGUAGUUGAAUUUUUGCUUGCCGCCGAUGUCGGAACUUCCGUACGUUCGGCGGCGUGCAUCCUUGGGUGGAACCUGUGUGGCAUUAGGUUGUCGUGCAGGGGAUGCUCAUCGUUUACUGUGAAAAAAUUAGAGUGUUCAAAGCAGGCUUACGCCGUUGAAUAUAUUAGCAUGGAAUAAUAAGAUAGGACCUUGGUACUAUUUUGUUGGUUUGCGCACCGAGGUAAUGAUUAACAGGGACGGUUGGGGGUAUUCGUAUUCCAUUGUCAGAGGUGAAAUUCUUGGAUUUCUGGAAGACGAACUACUGCGAAAGCAUUUACCAAGGAUGUUUUCAUUAA
rnacentral:rRNA from 1 species